rnacentral:sRNA from 1 species
AAUUAGCCCCGAGUGAAGCGGCAUCCUUUUAUAUAGCUUCCAGCUUUUUGAAGGCUGGAAGCUGUGUAAAAAAUAUAGCGGAAAGCGAGAACUUUA